GGAGCUGAUGCAAGGAAAUCACUAUAAUUGAUGACCAGACACAGAGUUACCUACCAAAUGUCUGGUCCCUAGAACUACUCCUCUGAAAUAAUUUAUCAAAAGUUGGAUUUCCGUUUUCAAAGUUAUUAACAAUAACAAGAGUCUGUUUCUGAUUUUUAACAUGAGGUUUUAUCAUUCGAGCCCUUCUUUUCAAUAAAAUCUCUCUAUACACUGGGAUCUCCAUUAAUAAACUCCUUUCGGUUUGCCGCAUUUUAAUGAGGGUGAACAGAAAGUAAACCGAAAAGAACCUUAACUUCCCACACGAAAUGGGCAGAAAUGAGUGUGCCGAAGAUUUACACGAGGCUCCGUACGCAACGGGUGCCAGGAAAUUAACAGGGCACGUGCGUCCGUGUGGUGGCGGCGGGGGACGGUGGCACCAACACCUCCCCGCGGACUGCACGAGCUCCCCAGGCGGUUCUGCUGCGGUUCGGGAUCGGACUGGAGCACGUAACUGGACGUUAGCUCGUAACAAUGAGACCCUGGUUCAAUUUGAGAACGCACACCCUCCUUCCAUAUUAAUUUUUCUCUUUCGCAAACCUACUUCCAUCUUUUAUUUUCCUUUUACGUUGUGCACUGCUCACAACCACAUGAGCGACGAACGUGGAGGGGACCCAUCCAAGUUAUUUACUCCGCGAGCCUCCUCCCGCGGCAAAUAGGCAACAAUGCCGCGGAAGUCGGAGGGUGGACCACCCUCUUCCCAUAACUUUUGGACAGCCGGUUUUCCAUCAAAAUUCAAUUAUCGCUAAGGAGAAACCAGGGUUUGUAGUGAAACGAUUUAGAACGGUUUACUUCUUUGCCAUAAAAUGGAUGAUCGACCUUCGGGAAACCCAGACCGCCCCCGUCCCGAGGGAGGCAGCGUGGCUCUGGCACCGUGGGAUCGACCCCUCGAGACGGAAACCACGUUCCCAUAAAGAAACUUGAGCCACCAAAGGGAUUAGAUGACAUGAUCGGAAAUACAUGAGAAAUACUUUCUGCAUUUUCCGCUAUCGGGAUUAAGGAAUUGGGGGGGGGGGAGGGGGCGGGAAAUCAGGACGCUUCUGUCUUCCCAAACCCGAAUGCCACACCCGGCCGCUCCCAGUUCCAUCCACUCUCGCACAUGGUGUCCGGAGACCACGUGAGGCGGCGGCGGGCGUGGCCAGAGCGUGGUCACGUGGCCAGCCAGUCCUCCCGCGCGGGCACGCGCCUGCUGAGCCCCGCCUCCCGCCAGCCAGGGCAGAAGCGGGGCGGCCACGAGGGGUCUGCGGCGCUGCGGUGGCGGCGGCGCUCCGGGAUCCGGUCCGCCCGAGCACGUGCACUAACUUUAACGGAUGCGCUGGAACUUUUUGCAGCGCUGGGCUUGCGGUCUAGAAAUAACACUCAAGUAAAUGUUCCCUGUCCCCCUCCGCUCAGCCGCCAACUUUAGGACAUUCACCAAGGCACUGCAAACACGAAAAGAACCUCAGUACUCGGUUGCAUGAAUUCUGUGCGGCCACACCUUUAAAAGCCAUACUGGUCUCCAACGAAAGGAUCCUCAUCGGGGAAUAAUAGAAAAUUGAGGCCAGAAAUGAAUGCGCGACAGCAACCAUUUUUGCUCUGGUGUUCCCAGCAUCACAGGGUGUGCGAUAGGAGAUGAGAAAUUUGCUGUCAACCCUUGCGGCUACCUGUCCACACAGAAGCAAUAAUCCUGAAAGGCAAGGGAGUGAGGUGCCACUGGAUUAAGCCCUUGCUUUCACACCAAGAAUGUGCUGACUGGAUCCGUACAAACUCCUUUCUAUGGACAGGAGAUCUAGGCUCCAAGAGCAGCCUGACUUAUCCAAUAGAGGGGCCCUCGGGUGGCAGUUGGCUUUGCUCUAAGAUCUCGGCUCUGUUAUACCUCAUUGCCUCCCAAAGGGAAAUCAAGUUCGCUUACAAAGCCUUCAGCAAUGAGAGGUGUCCAGUGGAAUGGAGGCUGGUAAGGUGGUAACCCCUAGAAGGAGGACCUGCUGGAGAGACCCUUAAUGGACAACGGAGAGGUGCAGGAGCACUGGAAGUGGAACGCAUGGAGGAGUCUUGCCUGGCAGGGUUGGCGUGGGCCUAGGACGAAGACCAGGAGUGGGAGAUGACAUCAGGGGAGGGAGAACCAAUACCAGGCGGGAGCGGAAAGGCCCCUUCAGGCAUAGCUAUCUGAAAGUGAAAUACAAGGGGACCCUUGUAAAAUACUAUGUCAUGAAACUAGGUGCUGAGGGCUGGUCCAGGAUACAGAAGGGGGGAUUGCAUGCCUUUUGAAAAUGUUUUUUGACCACUACAAUCGCUCCCAUGUGGAUAAACGUGUUCCAUUAAUUUUAAUUAUUCCAGCAACUGUCAUAUUACUAGAGAAACAGAGACGUGGAUGCAGAGAGAGAAAAGAAAAAAAAAAAAAAAAAAACAUGAUCAUGUGAAGGGAAAA